CCUGUUUGUUGUCAUAAAAAAAUAUGUUUGUAAACAUUAACUCGCAUUCCCUGUCGUCUAUUAUUGUGCAUUUCUUGUCGGAAAGUGGAUACAAAGUUUCAAGAAGGACCCAAUUGCAUCCACCAGCUGAAAACGACGCACUCCCACUACACAGCUCUCCAAUCUUCAUGGAUUAAAUGGGCCAACUACAUUCUAUCGCAACCUGGCGAUCAACGAGCUGCUCAAAUUACUGAAGCUCCGCCUGAUGAGUAUUUACAUUUAUUCCGUGCCGCUCCGA